rnacentral:rRNA from 1 species
ACGACUGCUAAGACUGGAUAGGAAAUUAAGAGGCAUCUUUUAAUUUUUAAAAGACCUUUUCAAAAGGUAUGCUUAAAGAGGGGCUUGCGCCACAUUAGUUAGUUGGUAAGGUAAAAGCUUACCAAGACGAUGAUGUGUAGCUGGACUGAGAGGUCGAACAGCCACAUUGGGACUGAGACACGGCCCAAACUCCUACGGGAGGCAGCAGUAAGGAAUUUUUGGCAAUGGAGGAAACUCUGACCGAGCGACGCCGCGUGAACAAUGAAGUACUUCGGUAUGUAAAGUUCUUUUAUUGAAAAAGAAAAAAUAGUGGAAAAACUAUCUUGACAUUAUUCAAUGAAUAAGCCCCGGCUAAUUAUGUGCCAGCAGCCGCGGUAAUACAUAAGGGGCGAGCGUUAUCCGGAAUUAUUGGGCGUAAAGGGUGCGUAGGCGGUUUGAUAAGUCUAUAGUUUAAAUGCAGUGCUUAACGCUGUAGCGCUAUAGAAACUGUCUGACUAGAGUUAGAUAGAGGCAAGCGGAAUUCCAUGUGUAGCGGUAAAAUGCGUAAAUAUAUGGAGGAACACCAGAGGCGUAGGCGGCUUGCUGGGUCUUAACUGACGCUGAGGCACGAAAGCGUGGGGAGCAAACAGGAUUAGAUACCCUGGUAGUCCACGCCGUAAACGAUGAGUACUAAGUGUCGGGUUUCGGCUCGGUACUGAAGUUAACACAUUAAGUACUCCGCCUGAGUAGUACGUACGCAAGUAUGAAACUUAAAGGAAUUGACGGGACCCCGCACAAGCGGUGGAUCAUGUUGUUUAAUUCGAAGAUACACGAAAAACCUUACCAGGUCUUGACAUAAUUUUGCGACAUUAUAGAAAUAUAAUGAAGGUUAUCAGAAUUACAGGUGGUGCAUGGUUGUCGUCAGCUCGUGUCGUGAGAUGUUAGGUUAAGUCCUAAAACGAGCGCAACCCUUGUCGUUAGUUGCGACCACAUAAUGGUGAGCACUUUAGCGAGACUGCCAAUGAAAAAUUGGAGGAAGGUGAGGAUUACGUCAAAUCAUCAUGCCCCUUAUGAUCUGGGCUACAAACGUGAUACAAUGGCUGUUACAAAGAGUAGCUACAACGUGAGUUUUUAGCCAAUCUCAAAAAAACAGUCUCAGUUCGGAUUGAAGUCUGCAACUCGACUUCAUGAAGUUGGAAUCGCUAGUAAUCGCGAAUCAGCAUGUCGCGGUGAAUACGUUCUCGGGGUUUGUACACACCGCCCGUCA